rnacentral:lncRNA from 1 species
AGCUUUCUAUACUCCUUAGCCAUCCGUGCCACUUCUCCUUUACUCUUUAACGGUUAAAUUUCAUAGCACCCGGAGGCUUAACAAAACUUCUUUAAAUUUCGGCAAGCUCCAACAAUUUUGAGAAAGAAAAAUGAUGAAGUAGUGAUCUGGGAUUAAAAGCGGCAAGGAGAUUAUAUAAAUUGACUGUGAAGCCAAAAUUUCAUUAUACUGAACUUUUGCGAAGUAAGUUCUAUGUUCUUAAAUAACUUUUAGAAAUUUGGAUAAUUAGUGUUGUGAUUAUUAUUGUUUCUAAGCUUAGAUUUAUAUACACUUAUAAGAAGCUGUGUUAGCUAGUAGGGAUUGGAGGGAUGAUCAUGUAGAACUCUAUUAGAACUUGAAUUCCGUUGAAGCUAGUAUUUAAGCAAGAAGAUUAAUUCAAAAGAUAAUAUUAUAUUUUUGUAUUUGGGUAGGUUCAUUAAGAAAGUAAAAUAGUGUCUCAAGAUUGUGGUUUGUAUUAUUGUAUAAAAUUUCUAAAGGGAAUCUGGAGUUGUGUAUGUUAAUCAAACAGUGAACUCUAAGGUCUUUCAUUAUGUAUUCUAAAUAUUUGACUAAAUGCUUAAAUGGAAGUUUUGAUUUAAGAAUUUAGAAGUCAGAGAUAUUUGAUUAGUCUAAGUAAUUACUAAUAACGGAAAUUUCAAACAAGAGUCUGCUCUGGGUAUCUGAAAAUAGAAAUUUUAUUCAUGGAGGGCCAUAGAUGAUUUGAUGUUAUAAUAUUCAAGCUCUGCAAAAAAUUUGCGUCUGAAGUCGAAGUAGCGCGGCUGCGUCACUUCCAAGGCCUGAGACCAGCGCGGCCACGCUGGUCUGCAGUCAUCCCAAGAGAUUUUAUUUGUGUUCUUAGCUUUAGGGCAGGUAUAUCAAAGUUCCUUGUGCUAUUACGAGUCUUAAAUGAUUUCUGGAUUGGCUAUGCAAGAAUUGGCUUAGUAUAAUAUAACUUGAUAAGAGUUUUAUAAUAAAAAUACUAAAAUGUUUUAAAUAAAAACUUUGGUGAAUAUAGACUGGUUUAAAGGCUUUUAAAGCCUUAUAUUAUAUGUUGGAUUAACUGUCUAAGGACUUUAGCAUGACAUGGGUACGUUGGACAGAGUUUGCAUAACUCAAUUCUGGUCUUAGCAGGGAGUAACGCAGUCGCGCCACUCCUAAACAUAAAUGCAGCGCGGUUGCGCCGUGCUGCAGAUCUGUCAAGACCAGUUUGAUAUAAAUUGAACUUUGAGACAUGUAAGCAUGAGUCUUUUAGUAUGUAAUACCUUAAACAUAAGAUGUUUAGCAUGACCUAGCAUGGAAUGAUUAUAUCAAGGGAAGGGGGAAUAAGAAAGUUAUAAAUAAAACUCAAUAAAUUAAACAAGACUAAGGAUCGAUAUAAUCUAAGUAAUUGUACUUGGUAUGUAUUACUGAUGUGGCAUGUAUAUAUAACUUGUUUGUAGGAAUUAUGAAGCACGGGUAGCUAUGCGUUAUAAUUUCUCGCCAGGCAAGUCUUCCGGUUCUUACUUAUUAUAUGAACUUAACAUGAUUACAUGAUGUAUCUAUUAUGGUAAUUGAAAUAUGAAAGUCAACUUAUGACAAACAGAUUGAGUUUUGGAACUCAGUCUUGACAUGAUAUGUGAUAUGCUAGCUAAAUCUUUUCGUUCAAGGUUAUAGUGCAUGUCUACUUUACGUAUGAACUGAGCAUGAAAGUAUGUGAUAUAGGAUUUAUGAAAAAACUGUUAGAUUUGCUGAGUUGUCGAGCUCAAUCUUGCAAAAAGCAGGAUAACGAUAGAAUGCGACACUAUUUGCUACCCAGAUGAUGAUGAAUCAUGAACGACGUGUGGAAGAAUACACUAUCUUAAAUUAGAAGCUGAUAAUUUUUUAAUAGUGUAAAUCAAUAAUUGUGUACAAUUUAAUAUAUUCAAUAAAAAGGGAAUAUUUACUUUGAAUUGAGAAUGUAUUAUGAUGAUUGUUUGUAUAUAAAUUAUAUAGGUGAAACAUCAAUACAAAAGAUGAUAAGCAUUGGUACUUGAACUCUUAUAGUUCACUUACUCUAAUAGUGGGAAUCGUAAAGGUUGCGAUUCAUGGAACGUAGGAAAAGAAAGAUAUAUAAAAUUUUUAAUUAGCCGUAUUUUCGGCUGUUAUUGCAUCUAAUUAUGAUGUAAAGUUGAAUUUAGGUUGUAUUGAACGCACAAGGUCGAGACUAAAUUAGUCCUAAUAUUGGAUUAAGUUGAUCUUGAUUUUGGGGGUGUUACACAGGCAACAUGAUAUCGAAAUGAAAAGCUUGAACAAGAUAGGAGUUAGGUCUUCUCAGUCCUCUACGCAACCCUCAUGGCCUCAUUCUCUGAGUUCUUUUCUAAUAAAGCGAAAUAGAAUGCCGUUUCAUCGUUAUAAGCACUACCAGAUGCAGUUUCAUUUUUAUCUUGCUUCAUUAAUGGAGUCCAUUACCAACGUAACAUAAGAACUCAUGGUGCUUGUGUUUACUUUUUUACGGUUUGUUGAUGAUCAUUAUUAGUUCUAGGUGUACUUGGACAUAUUUGUUCAAAUCUAAAGAUAAGUAGGUACGUAAAAGAUGAUUUGUGAGUAGAGCUGUGGUGUUGUUUCGACACUUGUUUCCGUCCUCUUAAUACAAACUCUUUCCUUCCAUUUUCAUUGGUGAUUGCAAUUGGGAUCAUUUUUGAAUCUCCAAAUGCUCUUAAUUCUGUCCAUUUCGUCAUUUCGAUAAUAUUUAUCAUCAAAAUCUUUACCUGUCGUUAGGGGUGUUUCUUUAGGCUUUCGCUACACGUAAUGUGACACUCAAGAUUUAUGGUCAAUUGGGAUCUACAAGGUGAGCUAGGAUGCUAGGGACUCAACGAGUGUGUUUAGUCAAAGGUGGAGAGAUAUGGGACAAUAAGGACUUGAAGAGAGGCGUGAACAAGAUUAGGUAAUAAAUAAUCACAAAUCAUAUGACAAAAGUGAGUAGCAUAAUACUUAUCAGAAAGAUGCAUGCAUGCAUAUGUUUGCUAUCAGGUGGGCUUACUGGUUGGUUGCCCGACUAGGAACUGGCUCAAUCCUUUACUAGGGUAAUGUUUGAAUCUCACUAACUCAGCUAGUUUCAACAGGGUUUCAAGGUUGAAGAAGAAUAAACAGUGGUGAGAGUCCUGUAGUAACCAAUUGGCCAAUCAGCCCCAACUCUUUUUGUGCCUUACAUAUGUACAGGUUGUGUAUAUCUUGGCCUCCUCUCACAUAGGUUAGGUUAAGUAGGAGGGAUCAAACUCCUCUAGAGUUUCUAGGUACUACAAAAUUUGAAGUUCUCUAAAUCUCAACCUUUCAUUUAAGAUCAAUGGUCAAGGUGCUUAUCCAAAAUGUGGUAUGAUGAGAAUAACUUUCUAAUUAAAAUGAUUUAAUUAAAACUAAUUAAUAGAUAGUUAAAAUAAGUUGAUAUUUAGUUAAACUUGAUGGAAUUGUUUCUAAGCUUAAUGUAACAACAAGUAUAUUUUCAACGAUACUGCGCCAUGACAUCAAGUACUUGAUAACCGCACAAGGCAUUUAUUUGGCUAUAUUAGUUGGCAUUUACUAAACUCUUCUUUAUAAAUAAUUGUUUUAGAUAUUCAAUCAUACCUUGCAAGUGGUUGUGUGGCCAAGGGUUAUAUAAGAGGAUGUUACUCAUUUAUAAAUUAUAGAGCCAACUGCCAAGUCGUAAUUAUACUUGUACAAUAAAAGUUUGAGUAAAUAAGGAGAAUUUUUUUUUUGAAUCGCCCCAUCUUAUGUUUUAGAACGAAAGUAUACUAUGUGUUGAAAUUUUCAUACUAAAACAUAAUUCGCCAUCAUUUUAACAUCUCCUAAUAACCAUAGGUUGUAGAUGGAUAUAUAAAAAGUAAAACUUGAUGCUACUAGAGAGAGAUACCAACCAUAUUAAACAAGAGACAAUUGUAUCAAAAUUCAAAUUGACUUGAAUUUUGAGUAGAACGUAAUUUAGUGCAGCUCCUACAUAUAUACAUAUACAUAUAUUAUGAGUGAGUUUUAUAUCUAUAAAGUGAGUAUUUUUAGUUUGAUGAUUUGUGAAUUUUUGAAUAUUUUAUGUUACUUGUAUAUGUUUUUAUUUUAUUUUGUAGGAUAAUGAACGAAAGACAUUAAAGUUGAUGUUUGGAAGCAAAUAUUUUCAAAAUUAUAGUAAAAGAGCAUUAGAACCUACGCGACGAGACUACCAUCCCCAUAGGCCAAAAAUAAUGACUUCCAUUGCUGCGCCAUUUCUUAGGUCAUUUUUGGUGCAACCUUGAAACCCUGUUGAUGGUUUUCAUCAGAUCUGAAGAAGAAUUCAUAGCAAUGAUACAAAUUCUUAUUUCUUCCAUUUUUCUUUAAUUUUUGUAUUCUAAACAUGAUGAAUCAUUUUAUUAAUUUGAUUUCUUUUUCAGUUAUGAGCUAAAUUCUUAAUUAAGGUUGUAAUGGAACCUAAUGUCUAGUUGUAAUUAAUUUACUCUCUUAUUGGAAUUAUUAUUGAUCAUAUUUGAAUCGUUUAUCAUAUUUUAUGCUUCAUGUAUGAUUGUCUAACUAGAAAUUAUUGUGAUAACCUAGAUGAACGAUGUGUCAUGGAUUAGUUCCCUGGUAAUACAUCCCGGCGUCGAUUAUGAUUGGAAGAGACCUCCUCACAACCCAUCAACAAUGCCAUCCGUGUGUCCAGUUCUUUCUGCUAAAGGCGUAAGGCCUCCACAACAUCCUGAUUCUCUUGUACCUUCAUGGCCAAAAUUAAUUGUCUGGUGUCCUGGCUAUCUCACCUGAAGUUCCGAUACUACUGGGUACGUGUUCGAGAUGGAAUAUCCUCGACACGAUCGUUGGGUCCCCCUUCCUUCCUUGUCAUUGAGAACAACUGACGCCUGACACCGGCCGUUUGAGUAUUCUUUGGACCCACCGAAUGAUUGUUGUUUUCAACAUGAUCGAAUGGUCCCAAUCGAUCUUUAACCGAACCCCGGGGUUGACCUGAUAGGUUGGCAGUUGAUUUUUUCUGUCCGGAAAUUGUCUUACUUGUCGCCAUUACUUGUGAUCAAAUUUAUGAGUGAUUGAAAAUGCCUAACACUAAACAACCCUCCUUCUAGCACCAAUGUUAACGCCAAAAUUCUUCCAUGUGUCUCAAUCAUCAAUAGCGUGUCCAGUCCUGCACAAAGAAGAAGUCACACGGAGAAACUUGAUGGCUUGGGCCGCCGGGAGUAGCUCUGGUGUGAGAAUAGGUGCAAAUUAAAUAAGGUUAACAAUGGAGGUAUUAAACUUUAGUGCUAGAAAAUAAUGAGAUACGUGAAAAUUAUGGUGAAGCCUUGUAUUUAUAGUGAUCACACCUUCUCUACAUGCUCGUCCCCAUAUGAAAAUAGAAUUCCUCAUUGAGAUAGAUUCCUUAAUGGGACAAAAUUAAAUCCCCUUAAAGAAAGGAAGUCGGAUUCUAUCCUAACUCUUUCCUUAAGUGUUGGAAAUUAAAUAUAGUUAAGAAUCUUAGAUUCUUUAAAGUUCCCUAACUGCCCAAAACAAAUCCAUGAGUGGAGACUCCUCCACGUGGACUAUGGUCCACCGAAUCACUCAGGCCCAAACAAUCAUGCUCUAAC